rnacentral:rRNA from 1 species
UACAGAGACUGCAAACGUUAUUCGGAUUCACUGGGCGUAAAGGGGGCGCAGGCGGCCAAGUGGGUCAGGUGUGAAAUCCCGAGGCUUAACCUCGGAACUGCGCCUGAAACUACUUGGCUAGAGUACUGGAGAGGGUAACGGAAUUCACGGUGUAGCAGUGAAAUGCGUAGAUAUCGUGAGGAACACCAGAGGCGAAGGCGGUUACCUGGACAGUUACUGACGCUCAGGCACGAAAGCGUGGGGAGCAAAAGGG